GAUGAACGCUAGCUACAGGCUUAACACAUGCAAGUCGAGGGACCGGCGCACGGGUGAGUAACACGUAUCCAACCUGCCCUUUACUCGGUGAUAGCCUUUCGAAAGAAAGAUUAAUACCCGAUAUAAAGGAUGGGGAUGCGUUCCAUUAGGUUGUUGGUGAGGUAACGGCUCACCAAGCCUUCGAUGGAUAGGGGUUCUGAGAGGAAGGUCCCCGACAUUGGAACUGACACGGUCCAAACUGCGACGGGAGGCAGGAGUGAGGAAUAUUGGUCAAAGGGCGCUAGCCUGAACCAGCCAAGUAGCGUGAAGGAUGAAUGCUGAUGGGUCGUAAAUUUCUUUUAUAUAAGAAUAUGUAUUAGCUGAAGAAGGAUCUGCUAACUCCGUGCCAGCAGCCGCGGUAAUUC
rnacentral:rRNA from 1 species